UACAGAGGGUGCAAGCGUUGUUCGGAAUUAUUGGGCGUAAAGCGCGUGUAGGCGGUUUAGCAAGUCGGGUGUGAAAUCCCUCAGCUCAACUGAGGAAGUGCGCCCGAAACUGCAGGACUUGAGUGCCGGAGAGGGUGGCGGAAUUCCCCAAGUAGAGGUGAAAUUCGUAGAGAUGGGGAGGAACACCAGUGGCGAAGGCGGCCACCUGGACGGCAACUGACGCUGAGACGCGAAAGCGUGGGUAGCAAACAGG
rnacentral:rRNA from 1 species